rnacentral:rRNA from 1 species
AACGAACGCUGGCGGCAUGCCUAACACAUGCAAGUCGAACGAAGCCUUCGGGCUUAGUGGCGCACGGGUGCGUAACACGUGGGAAUCUGCCCUUUGGUUCGGAAUAACGGUUAGAAAUGACUGCUAAUACCGGAUAAUGACGUAAGUCCAAAGAUUUAUCGCCGAAGGAUGAGCCCGCGUAGGAUUAGGUAGUUGGUGGGGUAAUGGCCCACCAAGCCGACGAUCCUUAGCUGGUCUGAGAGGAUGAUCAGCCACACUGGGACUGAGACACGGCCCAGACUCCUACGGGAGGCAGCAGUGGGGAAUAUUGGACAAUGGGCGAAAGCCUGAUCCAGCAAUGCCGCGUGAGUGAUGAAGGCCUUAGGGUUGUAAAGCUCUUUUACCAGGGAUGAUAAUGACAGUACCUGGAGAAUAAGCUCCGGCUAACUCUGUGCCAGCAGCCGCGGUAAU